rnacentral:lncRNA from 1 species
AAACUAUUUAUUAAAAAAGAUCUCCUCCACCGCAUAAAAAUGACAAAAUUACUCUUAAGGACAACAUCAACAUUCAGAGAUGGCAUACUGAUAUUUAAUAAGUGAAACACAUUAAUUAUUCGCUCUUAGGUUCGGGGGUAAGAGGCAGACAAGGAAAAAAUCAUUUACUCUUAAAGCCAAAGAGUGAUUAUAUAUAGUAAAGUCUCUAUGUAGUUAUACAUUCGGUAUGUAUGAAAAGAUUACAAUUUAAUUAAUAUAAAAUGAUAAAAAUCAGAGAUAAACUAUAUAAAUAUUAUAUUAUAUUAUAUUAUAU